AGUGAACGCUGGCGGUAGGCCUAACACAUGCAAGUCGAACGGCAGCACAGUAAGAGCUUGCUCUUACGGGUGGCGAGUGGCGGACGGGCGAGGAAUACAUCGGAAUCUACUUUUUCGUGGGGGAUAACGUAGGGAAACUUACGCUAAUACCGCAUACGACCUACGGGUGAAAGCAGGGGAUCUUCGGACCUUGCGCGAUUGAAUGAGCCGAUGUCGGAUUAGCUAGUUGGCGGGGUAAAGGCCCACCAAGGCGACGAUCCGUAGCUGGUCUGAGAGGAUGAUCGGCCACACUGGAACUGAGACACGGUCCAGGCUACUAAGGGAGGCAGCAGUGGGGAAUAUUGGACAAUGGGCGCAAGCCUGAUCCAGCCAUACCGCGUGGGUGAAGAAGGCCUUCGGGUUGUAAAGCCCUUUUGUUGGGAAAGAAAAGCAGCAGGUUAAUACCCCGCUGUUCUGACGGUACCCAAAGAAUAAGCACCGGCUAACUUCGUG
rnacentral:rRNA from 1 species